rnacentral:rRNA from 1 species
UGCAACUUUGUGCGACAGUGCGCGGGAAUGUCGGGGGGGCGGUGUUUAAUCGUAUGUACUAGGCGGAAGGCUCGCGUAUGUUGCUAGUUAAGUCAAAUGUUAAAUCCCCGUGUUUAACUUUGGAGUUGCAUUCGAUACUGGUUAGCUAGAGUAUGGGAGAGUAUGGUAGAAAUCCAGGUGGAGCGCUGAAAUGCGUAUAGAUCUGGAAGAAUACCGAUGGCGAAGGCAGCCAUCUGGCCUAAUACUUACACUGAGGUGCGAAUGCAUGGGGAUCAAACAGGAUUAGAUACCCCAGUAGUC